GACGAACGCUGGCGGCGUGCCUAAUACAUGCAAGUAGAACGCUGAAGGAGGAGCUUGCUUCUCUGGAUGAGUUGCGAACGGGUGAGUAACGCGUAGGUAACCUGCCUGGUAGCGGGGGAUAACUAUUGGAAACGAUAGCUAAUACCGCAUAAGAGUAGAUGUUGCAUGACAUUUGCUUAAAAGGUGCAAUUGCAUCACUACCAGAUGGACCUGCGUUGUAUUAGCUAGUUGGUGGGGUAACGGCUCACCAAGGCGACGAUACAUAGCCGACCUGAGAGGGGGAUCGGCCACACUGGGACUGAGACACGGCCCAGACUCCUACGGGAGGCAGCAGUAGGGAAUCUUCGGCAAUAGACGGAAGUCUGACCGAGCAACGCCGCGUGAGUGAAGAAGGUUUUCGGAUCGUAAAGCUCUGUUGUAAGAGAAGAACGAGUGUGAGAGUGGAAAGUUCACACUGUGACGGUAUCUUACCAGAAAGGGACGGCUAACUACGUG
rnacentral:rRNA from 1 species